UGGAAUUGUAGUUAGGAGCCAUUGAUGGGUC
rnacentral:piRNA from 1 species